UACAGAGGCCACAAGCGUUAAUCGGAAUCACUGGGCUUAAAGGGUGCGUAGGCGGUCCCGCAAGUGCUUUGUGAAAUCCCAUCGCUCAACGAUGGAAUGGCUCGGUAUACUGCGGGUCUUGAGGUCGGUAGAGGUCGUCGGAACAGUAGGUGGAGCGGUGAAAUGCGUAGAUAUCUACUGGAACGCCAAAGGUGAAGACAGGCGACUGGGCCGAUUCUGACGCUGGGGCACGAAAUCGUGGGGAGCGAACAGG
rnacentral:rRNA from 1 species